rnacentral:rRNA from 1 species
GAUGAACGCUGGCGGCGUGCCUAAUACAUGCAAGUCGAGCGAACAGACGAGGAGCUUGCUCCUCUGACGUUAGCGGCGGACGGGUGAGUAACACGUGGAUAACCUACCUAUAAGACUGGGAUAACUUCGGGAAACCGGAGCUAAUACCGGAUAAUAUAUUGAACCGCAUGGUUCAAUAGUGAAAGACGGUUUUGCUGUCACUUAUAGAUGGAUCCGCGCCGCAUUAGCUAGUUGGUAAGGUAACGGCUUACCAAGGCAACGAUGCGUAGCCGACCUGAGAGGGUGAUCGGCCACACUGGAACUGAGACACGGUCCAGACUCCUACGGGAGGCAGCAGUAGGGAAUCUUCCGCAAUGGGCGAAAGCUUGACGGGGCAACGCCGCGUGAGUGAUGAAGGUCUUCGGAUCGUAAAACUCUGUUAUUAGGGAAGAACAAAUGUGUAAGUAACUAUGCACGUCUUGACGGUACCUAACCAGAAAGCCACGGCUAACUACGUG